rnacentral:rRNA from 1 species
CAGCCGCGGGAAUACGUAGGGCGCAAGCGUUAUCCGGAAUUAUUGGGCGUAAAGAGCUCGUAGGCGGUUUGUCGCGUCUGCCGUGAAAGUCCGGGGCUCAACCCCGGAUCUGCGGUGGGUACGGGCAGACUAGAGUGAUGUAGGGGAGACUGGAAUUCCUGGUGUAGCGGUGAAAUGCGCAGAUAUCAGGAGGAACACCGAUGGCGAAGGCAGGUCUCUGGGCAUUAACUGACGCUGAGGAGCGAAAGCAUGGGGAGCGAACAGGAUUAGAUACCCCAGUAGUCCCUGUCUCUUAUACACA